AACGAACGCUGGCGGCAGGCUUAACACAUGCAAGUCGAACGCCCCGCAAGGGGAGUGGCAGACGGGUGAGUAACGCGUGGGAAUCUACCCAGUUCUACGGAACAACUGAGGGAAACUUCAGCUAAUACCGUAUACGCCCUACGGGGGAAAGAUUUAUCGGAAUUGGAUGAGCCCGCGUUGGAUUAGCUAGUUGGUGAGGUAACGGCUCACCAAGGCGACGAUCCAUAGCUGGUCUGAGAGGAUGAUCAGCCACACUGGGACUGAGACACGGCCCAGACUCCUACGGGAGGCAGCAGUGGGGAAUAUUGGACAAUGGGCGCAAGCCUGAUCCAGCCAUGCCGCGUGAGUGAUGAAGGCCUUAGGGUUGUAAAGCUCUUUCAGUGGGGACGAUAAUGACGGUACCCACAGAAGAAGCCCCGGCUAACUUCGUGCCAGCCGCCGCAGUAAUAC
rnacentral:rRNA from 1 species